rnacentral:rRNA from 1 species
UACGUAGGGGGCAAGCGUUGUCCGGAAUCAUUGGGCGUAAAGAGCGUGUAGGCGGUCCGGUAAGUCGGCUGUGAAAGCUCCAGGCUCAACCUGGAGUCGCCAUCCGAUACUGUCAUGGCUAGAGUCCGGUAGGGGCCCACGGAACUCCUGGUGUAGCGGUGAAAUGCGCAGAUAUCAGGAAGAACACCGAUGGCGAAGGCAGUGGGCUGGGCCGGUACUGACGCUGAGGAGCGAAAGCGUGGGGAGCGAACAGG